GACGAACGCUGGCGGCGUGCCUAAUACAUGCAAGUCGAGCGGACGAAUCGAAAGCUUGCUUUUGAUUCGUUAGCGGCGGACGGGUGAGUAACACGUGGGCAACCUGCCCUGUAGACGGGGAUAACACCGAGAAAUCGGUGCUAAUACCGGAUAACACGAAAUGUCGCAUGACGUUUCGUUGAAAGACGGCGCAAGCUGUCGCUACAGGAUGGGCCCGCGGCGCAUUAGCUAGUUGGUGAGGUAACGGCUCACCAAGGCGACGAUGCGUAGCCGACCUGAGAGGGGGAUCGGCCACACUGGGACUGAGACACGGCCCAGACUCCUACGGGAGGCAGCAGUAAGGAAUCUGCCGCAAUGGACGAAAGUCUGACGGAGCAACGCCGCGUGAGCGAAGAAGGCCUUCGGGUCGUAAAGAUCUGUUGUUAGGGAAGAACAAGUAACGCAGUAACUGGCGUUACCGUGACGGUACCUAACGAGAAAGCCACGGCUAACUACGUG
rnacentral:rRNA from 1 species